UUAAAAAUAAAAUAUUCGAAUUCUAAAGUCGAAAUCUUGUGAGUGGAAAAGACGCCAUAGACGAAAAGUUUUCCUCUCUCUCUCUCCCUCUCUCCCUCUCUCAACCCAGCGAUGAGCCUCUUCGGUAUAGGCAGAAACCAGAGAACAUUCCGUCCAAAAAAAAGUACUCCAUCUGGAAGUAAGGUGGGUUUCUAUUAUUUUUCUGGGAUCUUUUUUUAGAUAUUAUUUGUUCUUGAUGAUUUAAGUUUUUUUUUUCUCAUUUAAAGCUGAGAGCCUUGCUGUUAUGACCAUUUCAGUUUUUAUUUCAUUCAUUAUAUCACACGUGCAUGGAUGGGAAGGAAUUGCUUUAACCUUA